GAUGAAGAACGUAGCGAAAUGCGAUAAGUAAUGUGAAUUGCAGAAUUCAGUGAAUCAUCGAAUCUUUGAACGCACCUUGCGCCCCUUGGUUAUUCCAAAGGGCAUGCCUGUUUGAGUAUCAUGAACACCUCAACUCUUGUGGUUUCCCACAAUGAGCUUGGACUGUGGAGGUUUUGUUGGCCCUGUGGUCAGCUCCUCUCAAAUGGAUCAGCUUACCGGUGUUUGGUGGCAUUACGGGUGUGAUAACUAUCUACGCUCGUGGUCGUCUCCAAAUAACCUCCAGUGAUGGAGGUUCGCUGGAGCUUAUAAAUGUCUCUCCCCAGUGAAGACAGCCUUUGAACGUUCGAUCCCAAAUCAGGUAGGACUACCCGCUGAACUUAAGCAUAUCAAUAAGCGGAGGA
rnacentral:misc_RNA from 1 species